rnacentral:misc_RNA from 1 species
UACGUAGGGGGCGAGCGUUGUCCGGAUUUAUUGGGCGUAAAGGGCGUGUAGGCGGCCUUUUAAGUCAGGGGUGAAAACCCGAGGCUCAACCUCGGGACUGCCUCUGAUACUGGAGGGCUUGAGUGCUCUAGAGGGCAGUGGAAUGGCCGGUGUAGCAGUGAAAUGCGUAGAGAUCGGUCGGGACACCAGUGGCGAAGGCGACUGCCUGGGGAGUAACUGACGCUGAGGCGCGAAAGCUGGGGGUGCAAACGGG